rnacentral:lncRNA from 1 species
CUUUUCCCAACACUGAGAAGAAGCCUCUGGAAUUAUCCUUAACAUAUAAACAUCAGUAGGAACACCUAGGACAUGAGCUUUCAACUAAAUCAAGGAACUAAUAAAAACAAAAGUGAAGAUAUGACUGAGUAUUUGUUUUUCAGAAGAACUCUAUUGGAUCAUCCACAUCCAGAUCUUACUGGAAAUACACCCUCCUGAAGAUUGUCACUUACACCAUUUCCAGACUGACUCUUCCUCCUACAGGGUCCUCAGGCCGGGAAGGGACACCCUCUCACAUACAUCCUGCUGAAAUACCAU